GGGGAUAUGGCUCAGUGGCAUAAGCACCUGCCUGGCAAGCACGAGGUCCCGAGUUCGAUUCCCGGUAUCCCCC